rnacentral:rRNA from 1 species
UUAGUUGGUGGGGUAAAGGCCUACCAAGACUAUGAUGUGUAGCCGGGCUGAGAGGUUGAACGGCCACAUUGGGACUGAGACACGGCCCAAACUCCUACGGGAGGCAGCAGUAGGGAAUUUUCGGCAAUGGAGGAAACUCUGACCGAGCAACGCCGCGUGAACGAUGAAGUAUUUCGGUACGUAAAGUUCUUUUAUUAGGGAAGAAUAAAUGAUGGAAAAAUCAUUCUGACGGUACCUAAUGAAUAAGCCCCGGCUAACUAUGUGCCAGCAGCCGCGGUAAUACAUAGGGGGCAAGCGUUAUCCGGAAUUAUUGGGCAUAAAGGGUGCGUAGGCGGUUAAAUAAGUUUAUGGUCUAAGUGCAAUGCUCAACAUUGUGAUGCUAUAAAAACUGUUUAGCUAGAGUAAGAUAGAGGCAAGUGGAAUUCCAUGUGUAGUGGUAAAAUGCGUAAAUAUAUGGAGGAACACCAGUAGCGAAGGCGGCUUGCUGGGUCUUUACUGACGCUGAGGCACGAAAGCGUGGGGAGCAAACAGGAUUAGAUACCCUGGUAGUCCACGCCGUAAACGAUGAGUACUAAACGUUGGGUAAAACCAGUGUUGAAGUUAACACAUUAAGUACUCCGCCUGAGUAGUACGUACGCAAGUAUGAAACUUAAAGGAAUUGACGGGACUCCGCACAAGCGGUGGAUCAUGUUGUUUAAUUCGAAGGUACCCGAAAAACCUCACCAGGUCUUGACAUGCUUCUGCAAAGCUGUAGAAACACAGUGGAGGUUAUCAGUUGCACAGGUGGUGCAUGGUUGUCGUCAGCUCGUGUCGUGAGAUGUUGGGUUAAGUCCCGCAACGAGCGCAACCCUUAUUGUUAGUUACCAGCACGUAAUGGUGGGGACUUUAGCAAGACUGCCAGUGAUAAAUUGGAGGAAGGUGGGGACGACGUCAAAUCAUCAUGCCCCUUAUGACCUGGGCUACAAACGUGAUACAAUGGCUGUUACAAAGGGUAGCUGAAGCGCAAGUUUUUGGCGAAUCUCAAAAAAACAGUCUCAGUUCGGAUUGAAGUCUGCAACUCGACUUCAUGAAGUUGGAAUC